rnacentral:lncRNA from 1 species
ACACAUCUAACCACUCUUCAGCUGAUAUCCACUUGCUGACAAAUGAAUCUCUCUGGCCCCUGGACUGUGCCCUGAAACACAGCUUAAAACAGCAGAAUGAACAGUAAUCCCAGAGAUCCUGAGAUGAGAAAAGGGUGUUUGACUUAUUCAAAGAAGACCAAGGAAGCCCAAAGACCAGAGAAGAGUGCAGGAAAGGGGCGGCGGUCUGAGAUGCAGUCAGAGCAGUGGCAAGCCCCCAGAGUCUGUGGCAAAGACUUCAGGUUUCAUCCUGAAGAGGAAGACAGGUCUUUGGAGAGUUUUGAUCAAGGAAGUGAGAUGAAAUAUCUUAGGCUUACAAAGAACUACUCUGACAUCUAAAUGGAAAAUGGACUGAUGAAGCAAAAGAAGCCACAAGGAAGCCAGUUCAGAGGCUAUUGAAAUGCUCCAGAAGAAGCAGCAAAGUAUCCAGCCAAAGUUUCUGUUUGCCAUCUAUUCAAUUUAAUACUAAGAGAUUUGUGCUUGACUGUCUUUGAAGAAAUUAAAGAGAAGGCUAAAGA